rnacentral:misc_RNA from 1 species
GGGWGAAGUCGUAACAAGGUAGCCGUAGGGAGAACCUGUGGCUGGAUCACCUCCUUUCUAAGAGUUAAGUUUGAAUCGCGCGGACUCUUCCGAGGAUUCGAAGGGACUUCUUUCAGUACGCUUUCUGCCUCAAAUACUUUUCUGUCCCAGGAACGCCGCCGGGCCUGUAGCUCAGUUGGUUAGAGCGCACCCCUGAUAAGGGUGAGGUCGGCAGUUCGAAUCUGCCCAGACCCACCAAUUUUGUGUGGGAACCUGUAGAAAUACGGGGCCAUAGCUCAGCUGGGAGAGCGCCUGCCUUGCACGCANGAGGUCAACGGUUCGAUCCCGUUUAGCUCCACCACUCUUUUAUUGAUUAAAGAAGAAGUUAGUCAAUUACUGUCUUCGCUUUACAUUCCUCCUAAGCCAAUCGUUAAGCGAUUAGAAAGAGAGGGAAUGGAUUNAAUNAAGCUAAGAACGUAACUGACUGGGUUUUUACCCCAGAAGCUCUU